rnacentral:rRNA from 1 species
UACGAAGGGGGCUAGCGUUGCUCGGAAGCACUGGGCGUAAAGCGCACGUAGGCGGCUUUUUAAGUCAGGGGUGAAAUCCUGGAGCUCAACUCCAGAACUGCCUUUGAUACUGAGAAGCUUGAGUCCGGGAGAGGUGAGUGGAACUGCGAGUGUAGAGGUGAAAUUCGUAGAUAUUCGCAAGAACACCAGUGGCGAAGGCGGCUCACUGGCCCGGUACUGACGCUGAGGUGCGAAAGCGUGGGGAGCAAACAGG